AAACUGGGAUUAGAUACCCCACUAUGCCUAACUGUAAACAACCAGCCAAAAAAGUACGAGAAAACACUUGAAACUUUAAGGACCUGGCGGUACUCUAUAUCGACCUAGAGGGGUCUGUCCUAUAACCGAUAACCCACGAAAAACCUUACCAUCUUUAGCCAUCAGCCUAUAUACCGCCGUCUCCAGCACAUUUCACAAAAAAUGAAGCCCAAUAGUUACACACUAAAACGUCAGGUCAAGGUGUAGCUUAUGAGAUGGAAGUGGCGGACCACAAUACCACACCACACAAAAACCCUGUUGAAACACAGGGUAGAAGGCGAAUUUAGCAGUAAGCAGAGCCGAAUGCCCCGCUGAACCCCGCCCUAGAGUACGCACACACCGCCGGUCACCCU
rnacentral:rRNA from 1 species